CAGCAGCCACGGGAAUACGUAGGGUGCGAGCGUUAAUCGGAAUUACUGGGCGUAAAGCGUGCGCAGGCGGUUCGUUAAGACAGAUGUGAAAUCCCCGGGCUUAACCUGGGAACUGCAUUUGUGACUGGCGAGCUAGAGUAUGGCAGAGGGGGGUAGAAUUCCACGUGUAGCAGUGAGAUGCGUAGAGAUGUGGAGGAAUACCGAUGGCGAAGGCAGCCCCCUGGGCCAAUACUGACGCUCAUGCACGAAAGCGUGGGGAGCAAACAGGAUUAGAUACCCGGGUAGUCCCUGUCUCUUAUAC
rnacentral:rRNA from 1 species